CAAUAUUCUCUCACAACAAAAAUCCUACAGAAAGCUUAUUGCAUCAGCUCUUCAUUUCAGUCCACUUGUUUGAUCAUUGCCCCUCAGUGCAAUAAAAAUCCCAUUAGAAUCACACAGGUAAUGAGAAAAAAAAAGCAGGUGAGAGGAGGUCUGGAGACACACAGCAGCACCUAAAAGAGUGGGAGGGAGGAGGACCCAGAGGCCGGGAGCAGCAUCUGAAAGAACUAUAAUCCAUGGGUCCAGUGUGGACUGACCGUGUUCUGAGAAAAAUCAAAGUGUGACGUCACAGGAAAAGAGGUGGUUGAUUGAUUGCUGUGUACAUAACAGAAGAACGUAUACAAUCAGAACAAAUAAAGAACACCAGUAAAGUCAACUACUCUAAAUAUAGUUACAACCCUGUGGGAGGAAAAUGAAAGAAGUAUAGCAUCAGCGGAGCAGGGGUGGGAGAAACAGCAGCAGUGGCCCCCUUCUCACAGCUGAGGGCCCUGAAGUCACGGACUCACCAGCAUCACACCAUCUCUGCCAGGCAAAUGCAGGAAAUGCGG